CGGGGCUUGACGCAUUGACUGCCAUGCGCAUAUUUUUCGGUACACUGCGCACUUGCUGUUCACGUGCAACUAUAUUUUUUUUGAAUUCGGAGCGCAGCCAGGAAACUAUUGGUUUUACAAUCAAGUGUAGCACCAAUUCUGAAAGGAAAUUUUGUCUAGUUGGUACUUUGAGAAGGCCAUUUUUUAAUUUUCCAAGCAGUUUUCAUAAUAAAUGAGAAAAACAGGGGAAUAAAUUGAAGUAAAAUUGAAAAAUGUGCGCAUAUGUAAAAAAGAAACUUGCUCCGAAUCGAUUUUUGUUAGCAUUGGUUGCGUACAGAUAUAAACUCAAUCCUCCUCUAUAUCUUACCUUCACAACUCGUCACCUACAACAUUGGCCCACUGCGAAGUAUGUUUUUCUUUUUCUUUUUUUUUCUGUAUGUUUG